UACAGAGGUCUCAAGCGUUGUUCGGAUUCAUUGGGCGUAAAGGGUGCGUAGGUGGCGUCGUAAGUGGGGUGUGAAAUCCCUCGGCUUAACCGGGGAACUGCGUCUGAUACUGGAUGGCUUGAGUUUGGGAGAGGGACGCGGAAUUCCAGGUGUAGCGGUGAAAUGCGUAGAUAUCUGGAGGAACACCGGUGGCGAAGGCGGCGUCCUGGACCAACACUGACACUGAGGAGCGAAAGCCAGGGGAGCAAACGGG
rnacentral:rRNA from 1 species